GGAGGGGGCAAGCGUUGUUCGGAAUUACUGGGCGUAAAGCGCGCGUAGGCGGCUAAGUAAGUCGAUCGUUUAAUCCCUCGGCUUAACUGAGGUUCUGCGGUUGAUACUGCUUGGCUUGAGUACGGGAGAGGAGAGUGGAAUUCCAUGUGUAGCGGUGAAAUGCGCAGAUAUAUGGAGGAACACCUGUGGCGAAGGCGGCUCUCUGGACCGAUACUGACGCUGAGGUGCGAAAGCGUGGGGGGGAGCAAACGGGAUUAGAUACCCCGGUAGUCCACUGCCGUAAACGAUGGGUACUUGGUGUAGAGGGCAUCGACCCCCCCCCCCUCUGUGCCGGAGCUAACGCAUUAAGUACCCCCGCCUGGGGAGUACGACCGCAAGGUUG
rnacentral:rRNA from 1 species